GGUUCUGCUGGGGAAGCAGUGCAGCUGGGAUUUCUUCCUUACAUCCCACAGUGUGAUGGCCUGGGGAACUGGGAGCCAAGACAGUGCUAUGAGAGCACAGGUCACUGCUGGUGUGUGGAUGAGAGAGGACGCUAUGUCGUGGAUUCCUUGGUCUCACGCUCAGCAGAACUUCCUAAAUGCCAGACAUCAUGUCAGCGAUCUCAAACCAAUGCCUUAAUUUCCAGCUGGAGACAGAUUGGUUCAAGGCUGGGUGCCU
rnacentral:lncRNA from 1 species